rnacentral:lncRNA from 1 species
AUGCUCCUGGGGCUGAGCCCCCACCUCAGCGCCCUCCUUCCCGGGCAGCAGCUGCCUGGCAGCGUGGUGUCAGGGUUUAUCAGCUUUCAUGGGCACGGCAAGCCUCCAAAGUCGACCGUGUGCCUGCUUCCUGCCCUCUCAUCCACCCUGCCACCCUGUGUCCUUGCUGGCUGUGUGCACAGAGCUCCCAACGCGCUCAACACCCCAGGUAUGCACGGAAGGAGGAGAAGGAAGCUCCUCCGGGCGGCUGCCAGCCCUCUGCAGGGCGCUCCCCCUGGGAUUUCCUGCAAGUCAUCGCCUCGGCCGGCCAGCGAAGCUCUUGCCGCAUGCACCGGGGCUUCAUCUCCUGCAAUAUAACCCACCUCCACCUCCAGGAGAAAGAAAAAAGCUUCAUUUUUCCCUUUUUUUUGUGUUAUAAACUUGUAGUACGAGGAUACGGCGCCGGGCGAGGAGGCAGCUUGGCCACCGCUUGCCUUAACUGAAUUACUUUUUUCUCCACGAUUGGAGAUUACGGAGUUUGAGGAGUUUUAAAUAUGCUAAUCUUUGCUGAAAAGGCAGAGAGCUCUGUGCCGGGGGAUUAGAUAAAGCUAUUGUAUAAAAAAAAAAAAAAAAAAAAAAAAUCGUGUGCUGCUCACCGCCUUUGAUCUUGUUUUAUCAGGUGCCUUCCAUCAGCCCCAGUGCCUCCAGCUUGAGGGAUUCGGAUUUCUGGGGCACAUCAGUGAGUGCACACAGCACCUGCGCUGAGGUAGCUGCCCCUAAAUGUGGUAUUUAUACCCAAAUAUGACACAUUUAGGCUUAUUUUGCCCGCGAGCACGUCUCCUCCCCUCAUUUUUUGGGGUGGAAGGGGCAGAACCGGCCGCUGGGGCGCUGCGGGAGCCAUGUCCUCUCCUCACGUGGCUUUAUGAUGCAGCUUUUAUUGGCGAGCAAGUCUGAAGGGCACGGACGGAAAGCAAACGGAGGCCCCGGUGCCUCGUGCUGCGUUGCGUAAGGUCCCAAAUAAAUUAAAAAUAAGCCCAAGCAGCUGUUUUUAUCAGGAGCCGAGAGGUUGCCACUGAAAAUGGUGAUGGGUGCGGUGUAAGAGCAGGUAGGAUGCGACUGUUUGGAAACCACGCCGUUAUGGGCAGUGCUGAGCGCGGUAAUUAAUUAGAUAAUUGGAGAAUUGGAGGUGGUUUGGGUGCAAGGCUGGCCCAACGCUGACCACUACCUCCGAGACAGGCAUCCCUUGGCAACUUGUGGCUGGUUUUUGAGGAGUUCCCUGCCUUGCAAGCUCCUGGCAGCCAUCAAAUUGUCCCCUUUUCACCCGUUUAUUUCCCAGGGUCUUGAUUUUCUUGGCCGUGUCUUGGUGUGCUUGGUUUUGCCUUUGGGCUGGACGCCUGUUUCACAAGUCGCCGGGCUUCGUUUUUUUUGGGUUCUUCUCAAUAUCGUCCUCCUCUCCUCCAUCUCUGAGAGAGCCUUUCCGAGGAGUGUGCCAGGCCUGGAGAAGGAGGUUGGAAAUUUUGGUGGUGCCUUUUGAUUCCUGCUUAUUUGUGGGGGGAAGGAGCCAGAUCCGAAGGAGCUGGAGCUCUUCUGCAAAGGAAGAAGAGCUGCACCUCUGCACUUUGGUGUUUUUUUCUGUCUGUAUCACAGAAAUAAUACAUGAAUUUAGAAGAAUGGGGUCUUCUGAUCCCUUUGGGGUAAAAUAACAGGGUUUUAUCUGCAGCUCUUCGUUUGGCACGUGGUCCAGGUUCUGUGAGGCUGAUGGUUGAGCCUUUUGCUGAAGAUGUAAGUGGGGCUAAAGGAGGAAGGGUGAGGAACAUCACCACUUCUGUUGACCACACAGAGUUCAGUUCAGGUCUAUUAUGGCAUCUGCUGAUGGAAACCAACCAAAAACCAACCACCAGAUCAACCAAAAUGCCUCGCAGUGGUGUGAAACAUGGCUUAAAAAUCAAAUAUGCUGUCUUGACGUGAACACUAAAAGACUUUUUCCCAUGACAACACCUGAAACUCAUAAUUUGGGUCUCGUAAGCUGCAAGAAAAAGGUUCCUGGUGACAGCUGAAUGCUUCUGAAAGGGUGUGGGAGCUCGUUUCGCUCUUCUGCUGCGGGACAGAGUAGGACAAAAUAAAAACGCUCUUUGGAAACGAAUGGAUGUAAUCAUAAUUACGAGUUUGACGCGUUAGUGUAAAUUAUUUCUGUGAUAAAUAGCAAAAAUGGGGCUCAGCAGAUGACUGACAGCCAACAAACACGUGGACUGGGAGGGAAAGUGGCAUUUUUCAGGUCGGUUUUCUGGAUGUGUUUACUAAGUUUAUGUAGAGUGGAAAGCUAAAUGGGUUCUGUCCUCGGCACAGAACAAACUCCGAUGGAUAAGAAAACAUUGAAGGGCCCAGGGACAGUAAAUAAUCAAAUUAGUGUGCAUCAGGCAUUUUCUCUCCUGUUUGAAGCUGGCUAGGCUGAAUUUGUUUUAGGAUAUUCAAAUAAUGUGAAUUGGGGUAGAUUUUGAGUGCGUUUCCUUCAAAUUCUUCAUACCUGUAUGAGGCUUAGUGCAUCGCAAGGGGAAAAACGCUGAACUGGGAAGGAAAUAAUGAAUGAAACUGAACUUAAAUGAGUGGUUUUCACCUGGGGGAACGAGAUACAGGUUCACACAGCUUCUGGCUGCCUCCUGUCAGCUCUCCUUGGCACAGUCUGCUCCUCAGGUGAGGAAGGAAAUCCUGGUUCAGCUGUGAAGCUGAGCAGCAGCAGCGUUUCCUUAAUUUGCCUUCAGACCGAGGGUGGAACUUGCCUUUGUUCCCAGCCAGCCCUUCUUUCUGCUGGCCUCCUGUUACGCCGCGCUGAGUCAGAGCUGCCCGAGGGCUGGUGCGUGGCUUCCCACCUCUGGAAAAGCUCCUCCAGCUUCUGCUGUGCCCGGGGAACACCCGAGUACUGGCCAGAGCUUUGACUUUUAGAGUAUUUUUCUUACAGAACCAACCCCCAAAUCCUUAAUUCUCGGUGAUGAUGAGAACCAGGUACAAGGAGCCUUUAUUUUGGGGCAGUUUUGGCCACGUCGCGGCUUCUUUAAUCCCAUCGCCGAGACCAGAGCUGGCUGGGUUGGAUCCUGCGUGGCUUUGGCUCCUUGCUGCCACAUCAGUGCCUGGGCAUGCUUGUAGGAGUUUCCAGAGAUGCCAGUGUCCCUGGAGAUGCCACUCAGCCUUGUGGGCUCGUAGCCUUCUCAUCCAGACGCGUGUAGGAGUCGUCAACACGCAGGAUUAAGGUUUUGGUUGAAGCCUGAAGCGUAUUUAGCCAGAUCUAAAAGAGCCUGGAAGAAAUCUCAGCCCUCUUGGUGAUCCUGCUGCUGAGAAAAUGGUCUUCGCUUCCACUUGGCCUCGCCUAGGUCAUGAAUUUCCUUGAACCUUUGUGCUGUUAAUGCUUGUGAGCAUCUAAACGAGCACCGCUCAUCCCGCUGAGUGGUGAUAUUUAAUGAUUUGCUUCUCGGAGAGCCCUCAGCCUUUUUCUGCAGCACAACCCCCCCCCCCCCUGCUCCACCGUUCCUGUAAUUAACGCAGGGCUUCUUGCAUUUCUCUGAACCCUUCCUGCUCGGCUUCCUCCGUCGAGGUUUGAGUUACGGCCAAGGCAUUUUCCUAAUGUCCAUGAUAGGGGCAGCACAAAAGGGAAGGGAAAUUCAAGCUGGAUGGGCAGCUAAGAGGAGAGGGGCCCUGGCAGGGUGUAGCCUCGCUGGCGGAGCUCCCAGCAGGGGAUUUAUCCCUGCCAAGGGGUCUGAGGAGCUGCCUCUGGAUUUAGGGAGCAAAUUCCUGCUUUAGGGAGAGAGCUGGGGCCCUGCAGAGGCUCCGAAGCUGUCUGCAGAGAAACGGGCAGGCAAUAUUUUAAUUUCAGUGCAGAAACAUCCUUGCAGCUCGUCGGGGAGCUUCCUUUGUUUUAAGGAAGACGCCGGCUGCUCCGGGAGGAGAAAACACUCCAUAAAUUUCAGGAAGAGGGCGUUCGGUUCGAAACCCAGGUAAGUGGGGAACGUUUUCUUUGGGAGAGGUGACUGAAGCUGCUGGAGGCAGAGGAGCAGGGCUUAACUUCCACGGGCAGCAGAAUUAAUUGGCAGUGAAGCCCUGUGCUGCCUGAUCUGCUCGUUCAGAGGAAGCUCUGACCCCUUCUCGCCUUUCCUAGACGGGAACAGGCACGCCCUCCUGCUGCAGCUUCGUGGCCUUGUGUUUGUGUUGUCUGUCUGAGAUGAUUUUAUUUUCUUUCCCCCCUUGGUUUCAAACUGAUACGUUUGCUCUUGAAGCACUUCUCGAGCGUUGUGUGUCCUUGGCGCUCGCAAAAUGGCUGAAAAAAUCACUUCAUGGCUCCAGAAAAGCUGCAGCGACUGAAGCUCAGCCUCUGCUCGCUU